UCAAGGGGCUAGAACCGGAACUCAGGCACCUGCCCACUCUGGGGUGGGGAGCAAGGAACCGUUAGGGGAGUCGACUCCUGGAACUGUUGUUGCCUUAGCACCGCAGUCCCACGUUUCCUAAGGAGGGGCAAUCAGCCAGGAUCAGCCCUUGCACUCCUGGUCAGUCCCCUAAAUACCAGAAAAAGGCUGUUAAAUCCAAUCUAGACAAUCAGCAGAUACCUUCCCGCCGGCCGUGGUGACGUCAAUUAAGUCUGCCCAAUGACAGUCAACCAAUGUCUUGGGCGGGUCCCAAGAGGAAAGUAGCUCUUUCCCUGGGCACCCAGGGCAACGUGGGAGACUUGCUCCAAAGAGAGGCGACUCCUGUAGUAAAAUGACGUCACAGAGGUGUAUGUGUUUCGGCUACAUGUACUUCUGUUCACCAAGUGUACAUCUGAUGCCCAAGGAAAAAAGAAGGUGUUGGAUCCCUGGGAACUGGAGUUAGGAAUGGUUACGAGCCACCAUAUGGGCACUGGGAACUGAACCUGGAUCCUCUUUGAGAUGAACAAGUGCUCCUAACUGCUGAGCCAAACCUGGAACCCCCAUUUAUUUCUUAUACCUCCUUCCAUACAAACAUCCAUGCAUCUAUUUUCCUCAUCCAUGGCCUUUUCUGUUAUAGCAUCUUUUCACUUAGAAGUAUAUUUUGCAAUAAAAACAUAUUCUAUACAUAUA